UGAAUAUAUGUAAUGGCCAAUGUAGUGUCAAUGUCUUGAUAAAGUUAUGUAGGAUAAAAAGAUUUUUCAGUAAUAGCAAAAAUCAUAUUUCGCAAUGACAUCAGACAACGCAAAGUGUCUGAUAUAUAAGGAGAGUAGGCAAUUUGCAAUAUUCUACUGCUGUUUGUCAUCUCUAAUUAAGGGUGAUACCGACAUCCUGAAAAAUUACGCUACUAGAUACAAUAUAUCAACCUAACUGGUAAACAAUUGGAAUUAUGAAUGUACGUCAGAGGCGUCGGAUAAGCCCACCAAAUCCAGCCAGCGUUCCAUAUAAUUAUGACGGACAGAUCGAAUCAAUAAACUUUGUGAGAUUUGUCAUUCUUAAUUAAAAUGAGGGGUCAAACACACAUUGAAACGAUUUAAACUCCAUAAGUCGAUGACUUAUACGUUAAGCUAUUAGUACAAAAAUAAUCAUGUAUGGUUAUCUUUAUUUUACUGGGAAUAUCAUGACAAGUUAAUAUGAACCUUACCCAAACACUAUCGUUUGAUAAUUGAAUAACUGCGUGAAUCUGAUUAAGUAGACGCUCAUAAAUUACAAAUUACAAAUCUUGAUUCCUAAUUUCUUAUGUUUUACUUGUCUUUAAGAUUAGAUAAAUUUGAGAAGACUAUCGCAUAAGUGUACGUAUCGCGUAAGUGUAAAGUGACAAUAUGUAUGGGUAUAUACUUACAUAGUCCUGGGUCCGGUUAAAAAUAGGCAAGAAAGAAAUACGGUAAAAGAAUAUUUUACACAAGUUUUCCUAAACUAAUUAGGUGAACUUGUUCCUGCUACAUAGGAUUUCGUAAAAAAUUGCUAAAAAAUUUGCAAACACUUGAUUACGAAAUCUGUAUCAAUUUAACGGGACGAACUUACAUGCAUUUAAAUGUAUAUACAUAUUUCCAAGUGAUACAUUCGUAAGAAGUACAUAUACAAAUUCUACAUUCGAGAACGUUUUCCAUCUUGAAAAAAUAAAAAUAAAAUGACCACGAUUGAUUCAGUAAAAAUGCAAACGUAACUUAAUAGCUGAACGUAUUUUGUCCUGAUUAUUACUGUACAUAUGCCUACCCUUUAUGUUCAGGAAACUACACAAGUUCCCACGAACAAUCGAUACAGGAUACUGCUUGAUGAGUAAUUAUUUGUCAAGUUUUAUUAUGCAUUCACUUAAUGAUAUGUCCAGUAAAUAAAAUAAACAAAGGUAACUACAGAUGCAUGAUUAAGUGCGCCACUGUCAUAGCAUUUCAGGACAAUGACAAACGUUAUGGGUGGAAAUUGGUAACAAUGGUAUCGUAUAUUCCAUAGGAGAUCGACACGAUUUCUAUGAAUUUUUCACCUUUAAUUGUACAUAAAUGAUAAAUAUCACAAGGGUUAUUUAUUAGAUACAUGUCGCCAUUGUGGUAAAGCUGACUGGAUUUGAUGGGCUAAUCCGACAUCUCUUACGUAACUAACCAAUUUGACCAAGGUUUAAGCUCAAAAGGGAAAAGAUAUCAGAACAGGAAUCCUGUAAACUGCUUACCUUAUUCAAAUUAAAGUCCAGGAAGAAUUGUGAUGAAUAUGAAUAAUGUGGGAAUUCGGAAUGUGUACAUUUUAAACGCCGCUGAUGGAGGCGGUGGGGAUGGUGGCAAGGGCGGCGGCAAGGGUGGCGUUUGUAGCGGCGGCGUCUGUGGCGGCGGCGGCGGUGG